AUGAUUUCUAUGAAAAACAGAAUAAGGCUGGAUGCUCUGUACUGGUCUUGCCCUCAUCCUGUCUUAUGGUUCCUUGACGUUUUGAUUUCAUCUUCCUUCAAGGCUACGUAGGAAUUACCAGUUUAUAUUCUGCAAUUGCAUUACUAACACUUGUUCUGAGAUUUCAUUUCAGAAGGAGGCCACGUGGAGGAUCCCUCAGCCUUAUUUUAGUAGAAACAAAUAACCAGUCAGACACAGCAUUUAUCCAUUACCUGGGGCUCCCAGUACACCAAGGAGGAUAACACUAAUCAUGGACCAGAAAGCAGAUCCUUCCUUCUUGGCAAAUUAUGCUUCAGUUUUCUGAGGAAAAAGUUUGGGAAAUACUGGAAUUUCAGGUAAUGGUGCUGGAAGUCAUUUAUUGCUUCUAAUCCAAGGACACUGGCUGGUCACCUGCAGUGAUGAGGAAGAAACUGUCUGUAAGUACAUUAAAGUUCCAUGUAAGUAGCUGUAUUUCACCAGUCAGUGAAAAAAAAAAAAAAAAAGAUGCAUCUGAAAGUACUGGAAAAGUUCUGUUUAUAGGAGGCAGGAUUAGAUUAGGUCUGGUGUGGCAAGC
rnacentral:lncRNA from 1 species